ACCUGCAGUUCCUGUUAGAUGAUGCACCUGAAGCUGAGCAGCUUUGGGCCUGACCAGUACUUGGAUGGGAGACCAACUAGGAAAGCUGGGUUGCUGCUGGAA
rnacentral:rRNA from 1 species